rnacentral:tRNA from 1 species
UGGCACAUAGCACAAUGGGAGGGCGCACGGCUUAUAUCCGUGUAAUCACAGUUCGAUUCUGUGUGUGCCGA